CUUACAUAUGUUUGUGAUCCAGUAAUGGGUGAUGAAGGGAAGCUUUAUGUUCCACCUGAGCUAGUAGCUGUAUAUCGUGAGAAGGUUGUUCCAGUGGCUUCAAUGUUGACCCCCAACCAGUUUGAAGCUGAAAAUUUGACUGGGUUAAGAAUUGUGACUGAAAAAGAUGGUCUUGAAGCUUGUAAUAUUCUUCAUGCUGCUGGACCUUCGAAGGUUGUAAUUACCAGCAUCAAUAUAGAUGACAAUCUUCUUCUCAUUGGCAGUCAUGAAAAGGAAAAGGGCCAAUAUCCUGAACGAUUCAAGAUUGUGAUACCCAAAAUCCCUGCAUAUUUUACGGGAACUGGAGAUCUUAUGACUGCACUUCUGCUUGGAUGGAGUAA
rnacentral:misc_RNA from 1 species